rnacentral:rRNA from 1 species
CGAUGAAGGACGUAGUAGCUGCGAUAAGCCUCGGGGAGCCGCAAGCAGGCUUUGAUCCGAGGGUGUCCGAAUGGGGAAACCCGGCACGGAGAAGCCGUGUCACCGCCUGCUGAAUACAUAGGCAUGCGGAGGGAGACCGGGGGAACUGAAACAUCUAAGUACCCCGAGGAAGAGAAAGAGAUAUCGAUUCCCUUAGUAGCGGCGAGCGAACGGGGAAGAGCCCAAACCACAGUGACGUGAUAGGCGGCAGCCGUUUUCACUGUGGGGUUGUGGGACUUCUGCGCGAGGACUGCCGUUCUCGCGGGUAAGGUGUCGUUGUUAGCUGAACGGUCUGGGAAGGCCGGCCAUAGAGGGUAAGAGCCCUGUAGGCGAAAGCGACGGCAUGGCCCAAGAAGGAUCCCGAGUACCACGGGGCACGUGAAAUCCCGUGGGAAGCUGGGCGGACCACCGCCCAAGGCUAAAUACUCCUCAGCGACCGAUAGUGCAGAGUACCGUGAGGGAAAGGUGAAAAGCACCCCGAGAGGGGAGUGAAAUAGAACCUGAAACCGUACGCCUACAAGCAGUCCGAGUCUUCCUUCGGACGGAUGAGGGCGUGCCUAUUGAAGAAUGAACCGGCGAGUUACGGUGGGCAGCGAGGUUAAGGGCUUAUGGUCCGGAGCCGGAGCGAAAGCGAGUCUGAAAAGGCGCAAGUUG